AUUAUUUCAUCACUCUCAUUAUUUUUACACUUGCUAAUAAUUUAUACUACAUAGUUCAAUAGUAUAAUUUGUUCGACUUAUACACCCUAAGUUUCCAUGUAUUGUUCCUUUCAAUAGUUUCUACUUCUUCUGUCAUUCCAACCUUCCAUGCUUCAUUCUUUAGAGCUUCAUGAUUUAUCAAUAGGCUUAACAUAUGCUUCUUUAGAGCUUCGUGUUUAGUUUUUAAUAUUUACUUUUGUGUUCAUGUUUUUCUGAAUAAGUUGAUAUGUUCCUUCAUGUUAAUGCAUC
rnacentral:lncRNA from 1 species